rnacentral:lncRNA from 1 species
CAAAGCAAUGCAGGACAGUAAGUGGUCAGGCGUUGAAUUCAGCAUCUGGUGAUUCCUCUUUGCUUUAUGAUGAACUGUGGUAGCGGUUACUUCCUAUUCAAACGAUUAUUGGGUCAUAAGUAUUCAGUACUUUAUUUUUUCUUUUGUGGCUGCUGGUCUCUUAUCUGUGCUUUUUCAAGUGUAUCUUAGAGGCAAUGUUAAUAUAUCCAUCAAACAGUCAUGUAAUACAAUGCAUGUUGAGAU